rnacentral:tRNA from 1 species
GUCCUCGUAGCUCAGGUGGAUAGAGCGGCUGCCUCCUAAGCAGCAGGUCCCGCGUUCGAGUCGCGGCGAGGACA